UUUCUGGAAAAUAACAAAUUCAGACUCAACUGGUGACAGCUUUUGGCUAUAGAGAAUGAAACUGCUUUCCUUUGGCAGUGGAACUCUUAAACUUGGGAGAGUGAAAGAAUACAAUGAAAUAAAAUGCCGUUAAGAUCACUGGAUUUUUCAGAUAAAGGACGACCCCAAAUUACUCCCAAAAUGAGGCUUUGUAAAUUCUUGUUAAAAAUCUUUAAAUCUCGAAUUUCCCCUACAACAUCUGAUGAGGGUUUUAGGAGCAAAUAAGUAAAUCCCACCUCGAGAAUCAACAAACCAGGCUCUAGCCAAGGCUCUCCCCACGUUUUCUUCUCGUGACCUGGGGAAGGUCCCGCCCCAUCGCUCACCUGGCUCUUGUCACCUCGGUCAUCUUGAAGUGAUCCGUGGACAAUGCUGCUCCCUGCCGCAGAUCCGCUGGUCACUCAGGCAGAACGCGGUAUGCAAAUGGCCUGGAGAGGCCGAGGCCCGAACACUGCGCCCAUUGUCCCGGGCGCUCAAAGCGCCGAGCAGCUGCGCAGAAUUUCUGGGCUCGGACCCUCGGCCGCCACGCUAAUGUCAUCAUUGCAAAACAUCAGAUUCUGAGAACUAUGCAGUCUGAAUUCAUUAGCAGCCUUCCCGGCGAAGAUUCUUUUCCCCGUGACAAGUUUCAAAGUCCAGACCCCCUCCAACGUUGAUAGGGGUAGGAAGAGGAGGAGGGACCCGGGGAGGGGGGUCUUUCGCAAGUGGGGCCUCGCGGGAUCCCUGCUCUCCUCCUUCUGCUGCGUUCUACAACUUUAAAAGCCUUCCUUGGGGUUCUGAGCAAGGAUGUCUGACUCGAAUGACCUGAGAUUUGGACAUUUUCCCGUUUUCUCUCAAGUGUAGCUUUAAUGUUGUGAGUUUAAAUUCACCAAAAGAGGCCCAGAUAUCAAGUCGAGUGAAUUUCACAGCAUCUUCUUCUGUUUUAAUCGUUUCUGAAGUCAUAUCCUUUAGGGUGAACUCACAACAAUGCAAGUCAGAGAGACUGCGCACCCUAAAGCAAACCAGUUAAAACGUCAGGCCAGAUCUUCAAGCUACAGGAUUGCAAGCAGCUCAUAAACUUCCAGUCCCCACCCUGAGACAAGGACUCCAGGCUGCCCUCCCCUCUCUGCCGCAUCUGAGGCUGGAAAAACUUCCUAUAAGAAGGCAAGAGAAAGCCACCAGAAUGGUACAAUGUGGCUUGAAGACUCUGGAAAGUCACAGAUCAGACCCUGCAGAAGGUUCCUCGUGUGUGCCUGGGCAACCUUGCCUCCAUCCUCUGGCCCCAGUUCCUGCCACUCCAGGUGCAGUCAGCAAUCUUACACGAACUCUGCGGUAAUGUCUGAAGAAUCUGGCUCCAAGUGUUUGAUAAUGACGAGAUAUGCAUGACCAAGGAGACUGUGUGAUGUCUGCACAGUUCGAAAGCCCGCAUUCCUGUUACUUUCCAAUCUCAGGUCAGCAUUUUGGAACUUUUCUGCUUUAAUUUUUCCACACACACCUCUCGCUGCCACCUCCUACCAAAACAAAGCAAACAAACAAAGUUUGAGCAAGAAUUUACAUCUGGGAAAAUGCUUCUACUCAUCAAGAGUGCAAUUCCUUUUUACUCCUAUAAUUGAUUCACAGCUUCAAAAAGCUGUGAAGUCAUACUUUGGUCAUGGAAGUUGCAGGAGACCAUAUUUGCCAACAUUUUAUUUUAAAGAAGGUAUUUAAAACUAUUUUACAUAUUAACCACGAUUUCUAGAAGUGAAGUUAUAAAAAUCAAAAGUUAUAUUUUACCUUUUGAUAAGUGAAAAGAGAUUGCUCCAAGAAUGUUGUUUUCAAUAAAUUCAGUAUAACUGCAACACAAAAAUUCUGCAUACAGGCUUCAUAUAAUUUUGCAUACACACAUUAUAAUUUUAUGUAUUUGAGAGUUGUAUAAUUAAUUUUUAAAAUGCAACAAAAAAUAUGAGGUUAAGUCUACUUUGCCAAUAAUGGAAGUGUCUCAUAGAUAAUUUUGAAUACAAUUAAAAUUUUGUUUUUAUCCUAAAAGGAACUGUCCUGUUGCUCAUUAUUAGUAUGUUGUCCACUUAUUGUUCUAUUUUUGGCUAUCUUGAAUUUAACUAAAGGAAAAAGAAAAUGUGAAAUACCAAGGAUGAGCCAAGUUUUGUGGGUAAACUAAUUGAGAUGGUUGAUUUUGGUAUUAACUCUUUGGGGAAUACCACUCUUGUUAAAAUUUAAGUAAGGAACUAGUAGAAAUAUUUUAUUCUUUAAUCAAACUACAUGUUUAAAAAACAAUGCCAAAGAAGAAACUAAAAAAGUAGCACGUAUCCUGUUAAAGAAAGAGCCAUCAGCAUCCCAUUGGAAGCUCCAGCACUCUGACUUUGGAUUUGUAGGAUGCUCUGUUCGUUUAGUAUAUGUAUUACACAGCCUCAUUUGCA